GGUCUGGUCUGGUCUGGUCUGGUCUGUUCUGUUCUGGUCUGGUCUGUUCUGUUCAUGGUCUGUUCAUGGUCAUGGUCAUGGUCAGGUCAGGUCAGGUCUGUUCAUGGUCAGGUCAGGUCAGGUCUGUUCAUCAAAAAAAGAAGGCAAAUUUAGCAAGUCCUCCCAGAUAGCACACAUACAUGUGGCCGAUGUCGGCCCCAGAGCGGAACGUCGGGCUCAUAUCUAUAACAUCUAAUAAGGAUCGGCCAGGCAUAGGCGCGUGUCUUCAGUCAGUGCUCUAUUUCCAGCUUGUCGGCUUUGGGUCGGAUCACGACUGCAGGCCGAUGCCGCGCUUAUCUGUUUGCGCGUGACCAUUCAUCUCUGCAACCGACGAGAGAAAUGGCGACUCCGGCGACAUCUGUGGUUUUCAGGAAGCGCGAAAAUCAAAUGAAACCAAAUGAAAUGAUCUUUCAUGGAGUGAACAAAUCUACAACACUGGAGGGGGAAGAGCUGCUGACAGGAGUAACUUUUACUUUAGGAAACUCAGAUGAGAUGUGAUCCCCAGCGUUUGGCGCUGAGAUUCUUCAGGACAAGACCUUGAUGCCAUGAAGAUGCCCAUAACUGACAGGCUUUCCUGUGUAAACCAUCAUAUUUAUCCAAAUGAGGGUCUCUGGGAUCCCCAGCUGAAGGCAUGAAGACAUCAGAUCUUGGCCUGGACAGAUGUACCAACAGUACACCACACCGACCUCUGCUUUUGCAUGGAUGGCUGAUUACUACCAUGUUCUGAGAGGGUAUUACUAUAGCAAAACUGAGCACCUGUGACAGUGGGAUUUCUAGUUGUAAAGAAUAAUCACACAAUGUUUUUUAGAAGUUGCAAACUUUUCUCUCUCUUACAAACACAACAGUUAAACCUUUUCAAAUUAUUUUCUGGUGGUGCACAAGUCCUAUUCUUCGAAACAGAAAUUAAGAUAUUCAUAUGCUCACAUUUAAGCUGCGGACACACGACUUUGAGCAUGCAAAAUUUCUUCAGACACUGUAACUGGCGUGAUAUGACGUCUGCAGAGUCUUUUUAUAAACAUGAAUUAACAAAUAGUAUAUUCAAAAUAUAAAAAUAUACAGUCUACUCGACUUUACUACAUUUUUUUUUUUUUUAAUUUAGCCAAGAGGUCAAAACCUACAUGUAGCGAUUUUGUACUCUUUACACAUAGUCGUGUGAUGUGAAUUCGCAGGUCAGAGUUCCAAACUUUUUGCAUGAGCUUGCGUUUCUGGUCUCCUGCAUUUGUGUGCAUAUGAAUGGAGGUCAGUGGAAUGAAAAGCGUAGUGUGACUGCACCUUUAUUCUGCAGUUGCGGUACACCUGUAUCAAAAGUGUGAAGUCAUGGACAGAUUUUAUUUGUGAACUGAUAUGCGAGAUCUCACAUAUGACACAUCAGUAUGUGACAUCCCACUCAAACACGUGCUCUAUCCAGUGAUAAACAUGUUCUUGUCGUUAUUAAUCAAUCAGUAAUCAACACAGCACCACCCCGAAAUUGCCUUGCACUGUAGAAUUAUGGUUUUGGCAAGAAAUGAAAAAUAGCCAAUUUAUUAUAAAUGCUACUAUUUUACAAUCAAUAUUUAAGACUAUGUUAGAGAGGGAUAGAAGCCAUUUUUAUGGAUGAUAGGAUUUUUUCAUUACAGGUCAUUUAUUUGAAUGAUCAGCAAAAAUUUGAGCCUAUGAAUUUAAUAAUUUGAAUUCGUAGAAUAAGAUUAGUACAAAUUUAACUGUUGUGUUUGUGAGAGAGAAAAGAGAACUCCAAGUUUGCAAAUCCUAAUACAUUUUCUCAGUGACUACUGAAAUAUUCUCUACAAAUUCCACUGUCACAGGUGCUCAGUUUUGCUACAAUAAUACUAUAUAUUAUACAGAACAUGGGCAAUUUGAGACAAUAUUCUGAUUCUCAUUUUACCAAUGGCAAACCACAUCUAUCCUAUUAACAACUAUUCAUUUUGUGUAUAAUCAAUAUCUAAACAAGUGAUAUUUAGUUGUUAACGAGGGAUUGGCUGGACUCUGCUGACCCAAUCAGUAUUUCUCGUCCAAUGGUCAUACUUUACUUUUCCGGUUUCUCUAGUAUUGCAUCCUUCUCAUGGGCAUUUCAUGACUUUUCAGUGUGGGUUAAACCUCUUUUUUGGCCCAUAUGUAUUUUUUUUAAAAAGUAAUUAAUAAUAGUUUUGUCUAUGCUAUUGAAAUUGUGGGUUACAUCUUUGUCACCUUUUCACCCAAGGAGUUUACAUUCCUGAUAAUACAAGAGCGAGGAACUUACAUUUUAAUUACAAAGGAAAACCAGUUAAUCUGCCAUGUUCUUCUGUCCUCCAUUUUCAUGGGUAAGAUUUCUUUAUAAACCAUCUACUCACCCAUAUGUCUUUAUUUUUGUGGAACACAAAAGGAGAGAGUCACUUAGUCUCAGUCACCAUUAGAAAAGAAACUGAUAGUGAAUUGUGACUGAGGCUGUCAGUCUCUUGAUGUUCUGCCUUACAUCUCCUUUAGUGCUCCAAUAAAAAUAACAUGUUUGGUACAAAAGAACAUGACCAGUUUUGUUCAUGAGUAAAUAUUGCUUUUAAUUUUUUAACUUGAGACUGUUUAGCCUGUAAUUUUCUGUAUACCUCUGCGUGUAUCUGAAUGUAAAUGCCUUCUCUAUUUGUCAUAUUGACGGGUUGUAUAUAGGAGGAUGUAUGCCUUAAACAUGCAGGCUAUCUGUAACUGUAUUUUGUAAAUAUUAAAACAAUGUUAACUGAAUGUGAUGUGUGAUUAUUACAUAAACAUGCUCAUUUAUCUAUUAGUAUUAAGUAUUUGAGAUUUUCAAAAACGAAAAUGUGUUAACUGGGUAAAACUUCAGCCCAACUGAAAUCAACAUCGUUUCAGCAUAAGGGAAGCAAACGAUCCGCGUCGAUUUCCCGUUAGUUUUGAAUGGCGUGUCUGACGUUGGUCUUUGAUGUCGUGAGAAACAUCGAUUCUAGGUUGAUUCUGUGUCAGUGUGCUAUCUGGGUGUAGCCUGAAAGGUUCAGCCUAAAUAAAGGCCCUAGAAAGCCCCUGCACAGCGGCCAGUAUUUACAGAUUUGGAUCGUCCACACAUCGGCCGGAGAGCAUUCGCGAUCAGAGGCCGACGCCUCGGCGACAUUUUCCCGAUGAGCAAACGCUCCGUGAGCUACGUCCCGGCGAUGGAACUUUGUCCAUCGAGACAACAUCGGCCCGACGUAUGUGUGUUAUGUGGGCUUUUACCUAACUUAGGAAGAUGAGGGAUUACAUUACUUUGAAAUAAGUUGUGAGGCAUUUUAAUUAUAGAUUAUGGGUUUGCUUUGAUAAUAUUAUUGAACUGUUUUCUGUCAUUUAACUUGCAUUUUGAAAAAAACAAAAAACAAACACACAUAUUCCAGUAGGCUAUUAUUCAAUAUGUGCACCACAGAACAUAUUCUUUUCUCCCACCAAUAAAGAUUUAUUCAUAAAUCUACAAUUACACAAUGGGAUGUUAUGGGGGCUAAAAUUAUGCUUAGAUAAUUUCCUAAUAAAAUAACGAAUAAAUAGUACGACAUUUUUUGAGUGGUCAUGCGCAGUUCUACCUGUAGGUGGAGUCAAUUUGCAACGUAUUCGGAGGGGAGAAGCACAUGGAACAAUCAAUGCAGAGUUCAAUCACAUCACAAUCAGAAGCCUCAAUCAAGAAUUCUUCUCAGUGCUUUAUUAACUUGCAGCUUGAUUUCUGGAAAUUUGUGCAACAAAGAAAGUGGCAGUUGAAAAGAGUUUAUUGCGCAAAUUAAAUCUAUGCACUGUCAUCACUGCUAAGUGCACAGUUCUUCAUGGCCUUCCUCUCAUUCUUGGAGAAGAAACCUCUGAUUUUUUUAAACAUUGCUGACAGGACUGUGAUUGUGACACACCCUUCUUCAGGAUUCUGACUGCGAUAACAGAAGACAGCCAGGAUUCUUCCUCCACAAGAAAUACAUUUGGAGUCUUCAUGCACUGCAUUAUUCUAGACUGAGCCAUUGUCAUGGAUGAACUAGAAAACCUUCCAGGUGCCAUGUGACUAAUUUCUGGACUGAUUUGUGCCAAAUUUGGAGUUUUUCUUUCCCUUGGACACAAUUCUCUGAAACCAAAACUACAUUUACUUAAAACCCUUCUGUUGAUGUAAGCAAAGGCUGUUUGAGAUCGUUAAAGGCUUAGUUCACCCAAAAAUGUAAAUUCUGUCAUCAGUUUUUCACUCUCAUGUUGUUUGACUUUGGUUAGUCUUUCAAACACAAACUUAGAUAUUUUUAAAGAAAACAGGCUGGAAAACUUUUUGGAUCUUUUAAGUUUUGUUUACCUGGACUUUCAGUUGGAGGUACAGAAACCUCUCAGAUUUCAUUAAAAUAAUUUCAUUUAUGUUUUAAAGUCUAACCAAAGUCUUCUGAGUUUGUGACAUCAUGAGGGUGAGUAAAUGAUGAGAGAAUUUAAUUUUUUUUGCGAACUAUUGCUUAGGGCUGGGCGAUAUGGCUGAAAACUGUAUCACGAUAUCAGUGUCUCAUAUUGGACGAUAUCGAUAAUUAUUUAUUUUUUUAUGACCCAUUUAAAAUAAGGACCAGGAGAAAAAUAUAUUACAUUUAAAUAUUUUUAUUUUAAACUUAACCUUCCUCUGAUCAUAAUCCCCUCAGUUAUUAAGACAGAAAUGUCAACAACCAUGGAAAACUACAGCUACAGAUGUUGUUGGUUGAAUACAGCUGUGCUCCAAAGGGUGAGCGCGGCUAAGGUGGUACAUCAAGUUCGUGGUAUUACCAGUCUUGGCGGGGACGACAGUCUUGCAUAAUUUGCAGACGACAUUGGUCUGACUACGGUCAGACUUAUAAUAUCCAAAAAAACUGCCAUACUGGCGAGCUGACUUUUCCUCUUUUAUUUACAAUUUCCUCGCUCGCUGCGGCACUCAUUUUCUGCUUAUCAGUCGCCGGUUACUGAAGAGGAAUCCAGCAGACCAGCACGAGACAACGAUAUGGCGCAACCAAACUUGAUACUGUUACAUGAUUGGCUGUUAUUGGCUGUUGCUAGGUUACCAGAGAGCGAGUGCCUUUGUUAAUGCAACCAAACUUGCUUCGCAGCCUCUGUUUUCUUCCGAUGAAGAAUAAAAAAUAUCGAACGUUUUAUCGAACACAUUUUUUAUUGAUAUCGAUCACGUGUCUAUCGCGAUACAUAUCGUUAUCGUUUUAUCGCCCAGCCCUACUAUUGCUUUAAUCUUGCUGUUGCACUAAAGUCAACAUUCUUUUUAAUUAAAGUGUUAAACUGUCAAAAUUAACAUUGAUUUUUGUUUCAUGGUCAGCUAUUCAGUUUCUUGUCAAAAGACUGUUAGUAUUAUUGGUUUAUUCAUCAGUCAUGAUUUGUAAUGCAUAUUGUUACAUUAAUGAAAAAUGUUUAGAAUUUAGGGGUGCCAGAAUGGCAUUGUUUGGUACAUUGUAGUGUCUGAAGAAAAUUGAUGAGCAAUAAAUAAUGUUUUGCCUGAGA